CAAAAGGUUCAUUUUUGAACCACCAACUUAAAAAUAUUCUGGAGCU
rfam:Poecilia formosa, whole genome shotgun sequence.